GCCUGAUCCAGCCAUGCCGCGUGGGUGAAGAAGGCUUCGGGUUGUAAAGCCCUUUUGUUGGGAAAGAAAUCCAGCCGGCUAAUACCUGGUUGGGAUGACGGUACCCGAAGAAUAAGCACCGGCUAACUUCGUGCCAGCAGCCGCGGUAAUACGAAGGGUGCAAGCGUUACUCGGAAUUACUGGGCGUAAAGCGUGCGUAGGUGGUUGUUUAAGUCUGUUGUGAAAGCCCUGGGCUCAACCUGGGAACUGCAAUGGAAACUGGACAACUAGAGUGUGGUAGAGGGUAGCGGAAUUCCCGGUGUAGCAGUGAAAUGCGUAGAGAUCGGGAGGAACAUCCAUGGCGAAGGCAGCUACCUGGACCAACACUGACACUGAGGCACGAAAGCGUGGGGAGCAAACAGGAUUAGAUACCCUGGUAGUCCACGCCCUAAACGAUGCGAACUGGAUGUUGGGUGCAAUUUGGCACGCAGUAUCGAAGCUAACGCGUUAAGUUCGCCGCCUGGGGAGUACGGUCGCAAGACUGAAACUC
rnacentral:rRNA from 1 species